rnacentral:rRNA from 1 species
UACCAGCACCCCGAGUGGUCGGGACGAUUAUUGGGCCUAAAGCAUCCGUAGCCGGUUCUACAAGUCUUCCGUUAAAUCCAACUGCUCAACAGGUGGGCUGCGGAGGAUACUACAGAGCUAGGAGGCAGGAGAGGCAAGCGGUACUUAGUGGGUAGGGGUAAAAUCCGUUGAUCCAUUGAAGACCACCAGUGGCGAAGGCGGCUUGCCAGAACGCACUCGACGGUGAGGGAUGAAAGCUGGGGGAGCAAACCGG